GCAGUUUCUUGUGAUCUGAUUUGAAGCGACAUCAUGAGGAAGAAGAAAUGCAGUUUAAAUCCUUUUUAUUUCUUUAUUGUUUCAUUAUUGUACUGAUGAAAAGUUGGACUGACUUCAGUGUUUAAUGACAUAAAUCUCUGUCAGCUGUUUGUGUCUCUGACAUUAAAAUGUUUUCUUGAACAGAAAAAGCUUGUGUUUCCUGACGGCUUCAGUCAUUUAGAGAUUGAUAAAGAAGUUUAGUUCUUGUGCAGAUAAUCAACAGGACUGAAGGUUCAGCUUUCUGUCUGUCAGUCUGAGACAGAAACUGGACCAACAGCUCUGACAAACAUGAGGAAGCUGAAGCUCCUCCUCUUUCCUCAGAAGAGAUCUGUGGUGAUCUGGACUCAUUCCAGAGAGCUGCUUUAACAAAGUCUGAACCUGAACUCUGAGCUGACAAACUCACAGUUUCACUUCACAACAGCUGAUCACAAUCACUUCAUCCACUCUGAGGAUUAAAGUGAAAAACCAUCAUCAGUGGACGGAGAGACAGAGUCUGGCCCAGCUGCCUUCUGUCUCCUGGAAAGUCUGUGAACGUCCCCCUCCAGGAUGGACAGAGGUGUCCAGGUGGUGGGUGAGGAGGAGGGGCCUAACAGCAGCAUGCUAGCUGCUAGCAGAGUCAGCAGAUUAUCAGGAGGAGGAAAGGGACAGCUGGCUGUGAACUGAUGUCCUCACUGGGUUUCUGAAGACUUCCUUUAGUGAGAAGCAGAUUAACUUUGUGCUUGUUGGAGUUUCUACAGGAAGAUGAAGAUGUUUGUGGUGUUUGUGAUCCUCG